rnacentral:rRNA from 1 species
GUAGGUGGCAAGCGUUGUCCGGAAUUAUUGGGCGUAAAGCGCGCGCAGGCGGUCCUUUAAGUCUGAUGUGAAAGCCCACGGCUCAACCGUGGAGGGUCAUUGGAAACUGGGGGACUUGAGUACAGAAGAGGAAAGCGGAAUUCCACGUGUAGCGGUGAAAUGCGUAGAGAUGUGGAGGGACACCAGUGGCGAAGGCGGCUUUCUGGUCUGUAACUGACGCUGAGGCGCGAAAGCGUGGGGAGCAAACAGGGAUUAGAUACCCUGGUAGUCCACGCCGUAAACGAUGAGUGCUAAGUGUUAGGGGGUUUCCCGCCCCUUAGUGCUGCAGCUAACGCAUUAAGCACUCCGCCUGGGGAUACGGCCGCAAGGCUG